CGUUUCCUACGGGGGGCAGCAGUGGGGGAUAUUGCACAAUGGGGGGAACCCUGAUGCAGCGACGCCGCGUGAGCGAAGAAGUACCUCGGUAUGUAAAGCUCUAUCAGCAGGGAAGAAAAUGACGGUCCCUGACUAAGAAGCCCCGGCUAAAUACGUGCCAGCAGCCGCGGUAAUACGUAUUGGGCAAGCGUUAUCCGGAUUUACUGGGUGUAAAGGGAGCGCAGGCGGCCUGC
rnacentral:rRNA from 1 species